rnacentral:rRNA from 1 species
CCUACGGGAGGCAGCAGUGGGGAAUCUUGCGCAAUGGGCGAAAGCCUGACGCAGCCAUGCCGCGUGAAUGAUGAAGGUCUUAGGAUUGUAAAAUUCUUUCACCGGGGACGAUAAUGACGGUACCCGGAGAAGAAGCCCCGGCUAACUUCGUGCCAGCAGCCGCGGUAAUACGAAGGGGGCUAGCGUUGCUCGGAAUUACUGGGCGUAAAGGGAGCGUAGGCGGAUAGUUUAGUCAGAGGUGAAAGCCCAGGGCUCAACCUUGGAAUUGCCUUUGAUACUGGCUAUCUUGAGUAUGGGAGAGGUAUGCGGAACUCCGAGUGUAGAGGUGAAAUUCGUAGAUAUUCGGAAGAACACCAGUGGCGAAGGCGGCAUACUGGCCCAUUACUGACGCUGAGGCUCGAAAGCGUGGGGAGCAAACAGGAUUAGAUACCCUGGUAGUCCACGCUGUAAACGAUGAGUGCUAGUUGUCGGCAUGCAUGCAUGUCGGUGACGCAGCUACGACAUAAGACACUCCGCCGUCGGGAGGUACGGUCGCGAGAAGUUAAACUACAAUAGAAGUUAGACGGCGUGAGACGUGACCGAACGGACGACGACGAGGGAGGUUAGG